rnacentral:rRNA from 1 species
GAUGAACGCUGGCGGCGUGCUUAAUAUAUGCAAGUCGAACGGACAGGCCCUGCUUUUGUGGGUUUCUCGAGUGCCGAACGCGUGAGUAACACGUGUGUAACCUGCCCUUGAUUUUGGGAUCACUUCAGGAAACUGGGGCUCAUACCCGGUAGGAUCUCCUGCGGCACGGUGGGGGUUGGAAAGUUUCGGCGGUUGGGGAAGGACUCGCGGCUUAUCAGCUUGUUGGUCGGGUAGUGGCUUACCAAGGCUUUGACGGGUAGGCGGCCUGAGAGGGUGACCGGCCACAUUGGGACUGAGGUACGGCCCAGACGCCUACGGGAGGCAGCAGUGGGGAAUAUUGCGCAAUAGGCGGAAGCCUGAUGCAGCCACGCCGCGUGCGGGAUGACGGCCUUCGGGGUAUAAACCGCUUUCGCCUGUGACGAAGCGUGAGUGACGGUAAUGGGUAAGGAAGCACCGGCUAACUACGUG